AUCUUGUGGUGAGGGCAUUUACGUAGUAGCUCUUUAAAUCUUUCUCAUGCCUCGUAUAAGGAUUCAUCAUCCAUUUGCUGAAAAGUAGUGAUCUUAUUCUGCAACU
rfam:Gossypium hirsutum cultivar TM-1 chromosome 22, whole genome shotgun sequence